CGGGGUAACGGCCCACCAAGCCUUCGAUGGAUAGGGGUUCGUGAGAGGAAGGUCCCCCACAUUGGAACUGAGACACGGUCCAAACUCCUACGGGAGGCAGCAUG
rnacentral:rRNA from 1 species